rnacentral:rRNA from 1 species
UACGUAGGGUGCAAGCGUUAAUCGGAAUUACUGGGCGUAAAGCGCGCGCAGGCGGCUAUCCAAGUCAGUGGUGAAAGCCCGGAGCUCAACUCCGGAACUGCCAUUGAAACUGUUUAGCUUGAGGACGAGAGAGGUGAGUGGAAUUCCCAGUGUAGAGGUGAAAUUCGUAGAUAUUGGGAAGAACACCGGUGGCGAAGGCGGCUCUCUGGGGACCAUCUGACGCUGAGGCGCGAAAGCGUGGGGAGCGAACCGG